CACUGCCAAAGCUCUUUCUGAAACAUCUGCCCUGGCAACUCUCGCAGGGACCGGGCAUUGUUUCUGUAGGGCGGGGAAUUUCACCAACGCCUUUGUGGUUGGAUCCAAGCCCCUGAGCACCCAGGAAAAGAUUCCUGUUUCAAUUCGGGUUGAACAAAAUGGUCUCCGUGGUGCUUUCCAGUUCUACAAUUCUCUGAGUCUAUCUGGUCUUCCAGAUGGUAUCCUAACUAACCUGGCCUCCCACUGCAUCCUGAACCAUUGCCAGUCAUCUUAACCUAUGUGUUGACACUGGACACUGAUGACUGUGGAGGAGAGAAUGAUGGUAAUGACUUCUUGUAGCUCUUUGUCACUUAAAUCCAACUUGUUUGCAAAUCAAGGCAUCACCACUAUGAUGUUAUUGAUCUUCUUCAAGAACAAAGGAUGAAUAACAACUCAACGUGGCUUAGUAUAAAGUAUGAUGCAUAAGCAAAAUCAAUACCAUUACUUAUGCUAAUACAAUGGAAAUAAAAAUUAGAUUAUGCGUCUCAUCAAACUAUAGUCAUUAACUUUAUUAAUCAAAUUCAAACAUUAGUUUACAUUAUCUUUUAGAUAAUGUAAACAUUAACCACCAAGGAACAAACAAACAUUCUGAUUUCUUAGGGCUUCCCAAUAAGCUGUUAUAACACCCAAUGACAAGGUUCCUUUUCUGUUCAGCUGGAGGCCAUUUGUUUGUCUCUGAGGUGGUUGCUUGGCAAGUCAGUAAAUCUCAAUCAGUCAAUCAGCACUGCCCUCAGUGAGCCCCAGGGAUGCUUCACUCUCAAGUGUGGGGAAUAAGGUGAUUUGGUGGUGACCUCACAUCAUUCUGGGGACAGCUGGACAGCACAGGGCCUGAAAUCAGGAAUACUCCUCUUCAGACUUCAAAUCUGGCCUCAGACACUUGCUAGUUGUGUGAUCCUGGGCAAGUCACUUAAUCCUGUUUGUCUCAGUUCUGCAUCUGUUAAAGGAGCUGAAGGAAAUGACAAAUCACUUUAGUAUCUUUAUGAAGAAAACCCCAAAUGGGUCACAAAGAGUUGGACAUGACUGAAAACUACUCAACAACAACAAUAAGGAAGAAUCUUCUAAGAUUUUCUAAGAAGGUUCAGUCAUCUCAGAUAACAGACACAGGUCCUGGAAAAACUCAGUAAUACUAACUGAAACUUGGUCUAUUCUCUGAGGACAGGCUUCAUAAAAGGGGUGCUGUUUUAGUCUACUCUAGCCUUUGGGGAAUUUCAAGUAAGUUUCACAAAAAAUUGAACAUAUUAAUAAUACAUAGAGUAAUAAUUUAUUAUGGCAUAAAUUUAUUUUUUUUACCUCCUACAAAGAAAAAUUCACAGUCCAACUUAAAAUCUCUGGGAGUGGAAGCUCAGGGUUGGAGAGGAGAGGCUGGAACAACAAGGUAAGGAUAAAUGGUGGAGGUAUCCACAGCCCCUGGAGGGGCUAUCCAUAGACUAGCCAUAUCUAGUGUCACCAGCUCUCUAUUACUCCUUAAAAUGUGUGAGAUACCUGCACCAGAGAAGCUCUCAUAUGAUUAGGAUAGCUAACACCUGGAAACUGAGUGGAUGCCCAUCAAUUGGAGAAUGGCUGAAUAAACUGUGGUAUAUGAAUAAUAUGGAAUAUUAUUGUUCAGUAAGAAAUGACCAACAGGAUGAUUUUAGAAAGGCCUGGAAAGACUGACAUGAACUGAUGCUGAAUGAAAUGAGCAGGACCAGGAGAUCAUUAUAUACUUCAGCAACAAUACUAUAUGAUGACCAAUUCUGAUGGACCUGGCCAUCCUCAGCAAUGAGAUGAACCAAAUCAGUUCCAAGGGAGCAGUAAUGAACUGAACCAGCUACACCCAGCAAAAGAACUCUGGGAGAUGACUAAGAACCAUUACAUUGAAUUCCCAAUUCCUAUACUUUUGCCCACCUGCAUUUUGGAUUUCCUUCACAGGCUAAUUGUACAAUAUUUCAGAAUCCGAUUCUUUUUGUACAGCAAAGUAACGAUUUGGUCAUGUAUACUUAUUGUGUAUCUAAUUUAUACUUUAAUAUAUUUAACAUCUACUGGUCACCCUGCCAUCUGGGGGAAGGGAUGGGGGGAAGGAAGGGAAAAAUUGGAACAAGAGGUUUGGCAAUUGUCAAUGCUGUAAAGUUACCCAUACAUAUAACCUGUAAAUAAAAGGCUAUUAAAAUUAAAAAAAAAAAAAAAAGAUAGCUAACACCACUGUACUAAGGCAGCUUGGUUUUCCAUCUCUGAAUGACUUAAAUUGAGCUAAAUUUAAGCCUCCUUGAAAAACAUGAUAUUUUAAAUAAAAAGCCUACUUCAAAAAAAUCAUGAAUGAAAACUCUACCACCUCUUAGAACCAUAGGAAAAAACACUGAACACUUAAAAUUUUUUAAAAUCCCCCAAUUACAUGUUAAAGUAAUUUUAAAAAACAUUUUUGAAAUUUUUGAGUUCCAAAUUUUAUUUCUCCCUACUCCCUGAAAUGGUAUGUGCAAUCAUGAUAUUUGUCAUUUUGUACAAGAAAGCUCAAAUAAAUAAGUGAAAAAAGUAAGUGAAAAA